rnacentral:pre_miRNA from 1 species
UAAAUACUCCCUCCGUUCGGAAUUACUUGUCUCGAAAAUGGAUGUAUCUAGAACUAAAAUAAAUCUAGAUACAUCCAUUUUUGCGACAAAUAAUUUCGAACGGAGGGAGUAUAAG